UAAAUACUACGAUAGAUCCUCUUGAAAACUCUGUCUUAUCGAAGUUGCCACUUUCAAGUUAAACAAUUAAUUUUUUAGUUGAAGGUUAUCUUUUUGUAUCGAUUUUUGUGAAAAACGAAUAAAUAGAAUUUGGAGUUUUAAGGGAAAAAGAAAAGAAAAUAAAAGCGUAGGCAGUUUCAAUUUCUUUAUUUUGUGUUUCUAUUCCACAAUGAACCAUGAAGAAGAUGAUCCUCCAUUUGGGGCUUUUUACGAUCUCUGCUCCAUCAUUAUUCACGUCCUCAAAAUUCCUCCAUUACCAAUCCCCAUCCUCGCUUCCAAUUCUUCUCCGCCGCUCUUCGCUUCGCUCUUCAUCGGAAUUUCUCUCGCUUUGAUUCUCUUCGGAACCAUCACACUCCUCAUUGGAUUCCUUUUGAUUCCUCUUGUUGUGGCCUUCCUCUUUCUCUUCUUCUUCUUCAACCUCCUUUCAUUUUUCUCCAAUUUUGCUCGCUCCGUCCUCUGCUUCUCCCCUGUUUCUUCCCCAAAAUAUGUUUCCGCCGUUUGGGAAUUGCCCUGCUGCGGUUCAUACUGAAUUCCGCCGCCAACUUAGGGUUCCUCGAGAUUCUGGAGGUAACGUGACUGUGUAGAUUAAGAUGAUUCAGCUCAAAAUCCUACACAAAUAAAAGUAUGUAGAAGAAGAAAGAUGUGUGUUUGCUUACUUCAAUAGCGAAGGAAAAGAUUGAAUGAAGAUCUAGCAUAGCAUAAGAUAUAUUUGAGAGCUUCCACGAAAGAAAUUUAAAUAUUUUAAAUUCAUAUUUAAUUUUCAUUUUGAUGUAUUCCAAAAUUAGAAGAAAGAAAGUUGGAAUUCUUUUUUUCCCUUUAUUUUACUACUUUUAGUUCUACUCUCAUGGAAUCUCCAUCUUGAAAAUACUUCAAAAUGUUAGAAGAAACAGUUAGAGACAACAUAGAAUGCACAUAGGUUGAAUCA